GCGCCCGUAGCUCAGUGGAUAGAGCACUAGACUCCGGAUCUAGUAGCGCAGGUUCGAUCCCUGCCGGGCGCACCA
rnacentral:tRNA from 1 species